ensembl:lncRNA
GUUAAUUCCAAGGCUGAACUCUUGAGGCUCCAGGAUUAAUUCAGAUGAAAUUUUGAAGGAGACCUGGGUUCAGUCCCUGAGUUGGGAAGAUCCCCUGGAGAAGGGCAUGGCAACCCACUCGUGUUCGUGCCUGGAGAAUCUCCGUGGACAGAGGAGCCUGGCAGGCUGCAAUCCAUGAAGUUGAAAAGAACUGGACACGACUAAGCGACUAAGAAUAGCACAACACUGAUGGAGGUUGCCACCUGGGAGCAGAAAAUGAAGAUGGAAAGAAACUGAGUUCUAGCCUCAGGUUUGAGUCCCUGG